rnacentral:rRNA from 1 species
GACGAACGCUGGCGGCGUGCUUAACACAUGCAAGUCGAACGGAAAGGCCCUGCUUUUGUGGGGUGCUCGAGUGGCGAACGGGUGAGUAACACGUGAGUAACCUGCCCUUGACUUUGGGAUAGCUUCAGGAAACUGGGGCUAAUACCGGAUAGGAGCUCCUGCUGCAUGGUGGGGGUUGGAAAGUUUCGGCGGUUGGGGAUGGACUCGCGGCUUAUCAGCUUGUUGGUGGGGUAGUGGCUUACCAAGGCUUUGACGGGUAGCCGGCCUGAGAGGGUGACCGGCCACAUUGGGACUGAGAUACGGCCCAGACUCCUACGGGAGGCAGCAGUGGGGAAUAUUGCACGAUGGGCGGAAGCCUGAUGCAGCAACGCCGCGUGCGGGAUGACGGCCUUCGGGUUGUAAACCGCUUUCGCCUGUGACGAAGCGUGAGUGACGGUAAUGGGUAAAGAAGCACCGGCUAACUACGUG